rnacentral:rRNA from 1 species
AACCUUACCUGGUCUUGACAUAGUAAGAACUUUCCAGAGAUGGAUUGGUGCCUUCGGGAACUUACAUACAGGUGCUGCAUGGCUGUCGUCAGCUCGUGUAGUGAGAUGUUGGGUUAAGUCCCGCAACGAGCGCAACCCUUUUCCUUAUUUGCCAGCGGGUUAAGCCGGGAACUUUAAGGAUACUGCCAGUGACAAACUGGAGGAAGGCGGGGACGACGUCAAGUCAUCAUGGCCCUUACGACCAGGGCUACACACGUGCUACAAUGGUCGGUACAAAGGGUUGCUACCUAGCGAUAGGAUGCUAAUCUCAAAAAGCCGAUCGUAGUCCGGAUUGGAGUCUGCAACUCGACUCCAUGAAGUCGGAAUCGCUAGUAAUCGCGGAUCAGAAUGCCGCGGUGAAUACGUUCCCGGGCCUUGUACACACCGCCCGUCACACCAUGGGAGUUUGUUGCACCAGAAGUAGGUAGUCUAACCGCAAGGAGGACGCUUACCACGGUGUGGCCGAUGACUGGGGUGAAGUCGUAACAAGGUAAGCGUAGAUGA